AAUGGGGGCAACCCUGAUCCAGCCAUGCCGCGUUGUGUGAAGAAGGGCCUUUUGGUUGUAAAGCACUUUAAGCGAGGAGGAGGCUACUUAGAUUAAUACUCUGAGAUAGUGGACGUUACUCGCAGAAUAAGCACCGGCUAACUCUGUGCCAGCAGCCGCGGUAAUACAGAGGGUGCAAGCGUUAAUCGGAUUUACUGGGCGUAAAGCGUGCGUAGGUGGCCAAUUAAGUCAAAUGUGAAAUCCCCGAGCUUAACUUGGGAAUUGCAUUCGAUACUGGUUGGCUAGAGUAUGGGAGAGGAUGGUAGAAUUCCAGGUGUAGCGGUGAAAUGCGUAGAGAUCUGGAGGAAUACCGAUGGCGAAGGCAGCCAUCUGGCCUAAUACUGACACUGAGGUACGAAAGCAUGGGGAGCAAACANGAUUAGAUACCCUGGUAGUCCAUGCCGUAAACGAUGUCUACUAGCCGUUGGGGCCUUUGAGGCUUUAGUGGCGCAGCUAACGCGAUAAGUAGACCGCCUGGGGAGUAC
rnacentral:rRNA from 1 species